UACUUAACAGACAGGAAAAACGUUGUUUCUAUAGGUAACUAAACAACUGAGUUGACGAAUAUGACAUGUGGCGUUCCUCAAGGCUCCAUCCUGGGGACUCUUCUCUUUAACAUCUACAUGCUUCCACUAGCUUAGUUAAUGGAUAACAAUGAAAUAAGUUACCAUAGCUAUGCAGACGACACACACGUGAUAACAUGAAAAAAGAAAUUGAGAGAAGUGAAAUACAGAUCUAAGAGGAGACAGAGAGAUUCAGGGAGGAGCUAAGAUGUUCCUGAACUAUAGAAGAGAGAGGAACUUCCAUAUUCACCAGAGUUCAACACAGACCAUCAUCAUCACCUUCAAUCAACAUGCUGUCAUUAGACUAUUAUGUACAUUCCCUACUGUUAGUUUCCAUUCUAAGAGGGGUCAGCUGUGAAGAUCUCACUGCAUUACAGAAAGAAGAGUUCAGUCCAGAAGGCAGCUCUGUUACUCUGUCCUACAGAUACUCCAAAGAAGCAACUGGUGGUGAUGAGUUUUACUGGUAUCGACAAUAUCCAGGAAAACCACCAGAGUUCAUCAUCUCUCAUUUAGGAACUGGAAACAUUAUGAAUAAUCUGAUCCCUGGACUGAAUAUUACAGUGGAGUCAAACCAAAUCAAUCUGAGCAUCUCCUCUGCUGCAGUGACAGACUCUGCUGUGUUCUACUGUGCUGUGAGGCCCACAGUGACAGGAAACACCAACACUCUGUACACAAACACCAGCUGACAC